UACAGAGGUCUCAAGCGUUGUUCGGAUUCAUUGGGCGUAAAGGGUGCGUAGGCGGCGCGGUAAGUCGGGUGUGAAAUCUCGGAGCUUAACUCCGAAACUGCAUUCGAUACUGCCGUGCUUGAGGACUGGAGAGGAGACUGGAAUUCCUGGUGUAGCGGUGAAAUGCGCAGAUAUCAGGAGGAACACCGGUGGCGAAGGCGGGUCUCUGGGCCGAUAUUGACGCUGAGGAGCGAAAGCGUGGGGAGCAAACAGG
rnacentral:rRNA from 1 species